GUCAUUGAAAGAACUCUCCGCAGUAUCGAAUUGUUUAGUUCAUCGAUAUCGAUAGCACACCAGUACUUCCGGCAAUGGCCGGCUUUAUUAAUGAAUUAUAACAUCCAGUGCACGGACUACAACACUUUAUUGCGCCAAUGUUCUUAACGUUAAGAUGCACCCACUUUUCCCGGUAAUUUAAGCCUCUUGGCAGGCCAAACAGAUGCACGAACUUGUUCUAUAUUAAAAAAAUAAAAUUUUAACAAAUCAAGAGUUGAAUUAAAUCGCUUCAGAAAUAUAUAAAUUGAAAAAAAAAUCCCUAUGAAGAGGAAUGUGAAUAAACCGCAAAAUCUUACGAAAAAGUGGCAAAAAACGCUAAGAAAGUAAUUUUCAGAAAUUCGCUACCAACUACAACGAUGGCCAAGUGUGGAUCUGCAGUUGAGGAGGUCUACGUAAAAUCGCUUACGAUAAAUGAAGCUGAUGAAUUCAAUUGUACUGUAGCGACCACGUAUGGGCUCCUUGAUUAGCUGAUGUGCUGGAUUGCGGAAUUGUCGUAUCCAAUGCUGCUGGAAAAAUUUAUUCUCGGCUGUUAAAGCUGCCUAGCGUUUUUGUUCUGGCUUAUAUCCGGUAAUUCUUAUAAUUUUUGCUCACGGCGACGGAGGACCAUGUUCAUCGGGCAAGUAUGGGCAAGAGCGCAGUUUUCGGGUGUGCCGCAAAUUGGUAAUAACCCAGUUUCCCGUUUGCACCGAUGUAUUUUAAUUAGAAGAAAGUACACAAGGAAGUUUGUAUUAACAAAUAGAAUUAACAAUGGUUUUAUUGCUUAAUAUAUUAAUAUGUACAAUUGUAUUUUCAGGUUAUAUAUGUAUAUAGUUAGAUGAGGCGGUGAAAAUUGGUGGCACGAUGACGUCUUCUCAAAAGGAUGUUCGGAAAACAAGUAACAGUCCGUUCUUUUUUUUAGUGAGCCCAUCGAACCACGAUCCAGAAAAUAAAGGUCGCGCCAUUCGCGGACCGC